rnacentral:rRNA from 1 species
GUAGGGAAUAUUGGUAAUCUGCGAAAGCGGGAACCAGCAACGCCGCGUGCGCGAAGAAGGCCUUCGGGUUGUAAAGCGCUUUUCGGGAGGAAGAGGAAGGACUGUACUCCCGGAAUAAGUCUCGGCUAACUACGUGCCAGCAGCCGCGGUAAUACGUAGGAGGCUAACGUUAUCCGGAUUUACUGGGCGUAAAGCGCGUGCAGGCGGUUCGUUAAGUUGGACGUGAAAGCUCCCGGCUCAACUGGGAGAGGUCGUUCAAUACUGGCGGACUUGAGGAUGGUAGAGGGAGGUGGAAUUCCGGGUGUAGUGGUGAAAUGCGCAGAUAUCCGGAGGAACACCAGUGGCGAAAGCGGCCUCCUGGACCAUUCCUGACGCUCAGACGCGAAAGCUAGGGUAGCAAACGGGAUUAGAAACCCUAGUAGUCC